rnacentral:pre_miRNA from 1 species
UCUCAGGCUGUGACCCUCUAGAGGGAAGCGCUUUCUGUGGUCUGAAAGAAAAGAAAGUGCUUCCUUUUAGAGGGUUACCGUUUGAGA